rnacentral:lncRNA from 1 species
GAUUCUGUUGACAAAUACCCAUGAAAUAUUUACUUUUAAAAAUGUCCUGUCCAUGCAUAUGAAUUUCAGUUUUAAACAUGAAAAGUAUUUUAGCUUUUAGGUUGCAAAAAAAAAAAAAACCAAAAUCCCAAAACAACCCACCCACUAUAUGGAGAGUAUACAAAAUGAACACAGGCUGAUGAUGUACAUCAGUGUUUCCGUAUAGUAACAGGAAACCUGGAACGGUAUUUUUGGGGUGGAGGUAAUUUGGUAAUGUAUGCCCAGAUAAAAAUUAUGCAAGCCCGGUGAUCCACUGAGGCCUCUUGGGGGCUCUAUGGGUGCAGUGACAGGGACGCAGGAGUGCAGGGAGGGGCUCUGGGUUGCCAGAGACCUGCUGUGGAGAAGUUUUCUGCCCUCAAUAAGCCCUACAACUGUACACAGUUUGGUUUGAGUCCUAUUUUCAUCAUCCGCAAAAUUAGCCUACUUAUGCCUUUGUGGUGUGUCAGCAUUGAAUAUUGGGGUGUCGGCCAAGUGCUUAGCCAGGAGCCUGUCUGCGGCAUGGCUCAGCCAGGCGGGAUGUGACAUUCCCUCGUGGUCAGUGAGGCAUGCUGUCCUGGCUAUGACGAUUGGGAGGAUGUGAAACUGAAGCUGGGUGCUGGCGAAUCAUGGAGGCAGCUGGGAACCUCAGUGUCUCAGGCUCAGUUCCUCAGCUGGGAAUGAGAAAAGGGUGUGGCUUAGGAGAGGGGUAAGCCUGAUGUCUAAAACCGCUUUCCUCUCAUGGGUGAGCAAGUUGAAAAGCCAGAUUCUACCAGGGAGGUGGCACAGGACGCCUUGGCUGUGCUCCCGGAUGUGUGGGGCUGUUUCAUCACACAGUUGCAUGGGACUUGCUUGUGUGCUCAACUUUCCGGGAUGUCCUGAGACUGGACUUUCCAGUUUCCAAGAUUCAGUCCCAUUGUCAAAGCCUAAUAUCU